AAUAGAUACCCCGGUAGUCCACGCCGUAAACGAUGAGUGCUAAGUGUUAGGGGGUUUCCGCCCCUUAGUGCUGCAGCUAACGCAUUAAGCACUCCGCCUGGGGAGUACGGUCGCAAGACUGAAACUCAAAGGAAUUGACGGGGGCCCGCACAAGCGGUGGAGCAUGUGGUUUAAUUCGAAGCAACGCGAAGAACCUUACCAGGUCUUGACAUCCCACUGACCGCUAUGGAGACAUAGUUUUCCCUUCGGGGACAGUGGUGACAGGUGGUGCAUGGUUGUCGUCAGCUCGUGUCGUGAGAUGUUGGGUUAAGUCCCGCAACGAGCGCAACCCUUGAUCUUAGUUGCCAUCAUUUAGUUGGGCACUCUAAGGUGACUGCCGGUGACAAACCGGAGGAAGGUGGGGAUGACGUCAAAUCAUCAUGCCCCUUAUGACCUGGGCUACACACGUGCUACAAUGGACGGUACAAACGGUUGCCAACCCGCGAGGGGGAGCUAAUCCGAUAAACCGUUCUCAGUUCGGAUUGUAGGCUGCAACUCGCCUACA
rnacentral:rRNA from 1 species